GAGUCUACCAUGCCACCCUGAGCACCCCGAUCUCGUCUGAUCUCGGAAGCUAAGGAGGGUCGGGCCUGGUUAGUACUUGGAUGAGAGAUCACCUAGGAAGACUGGGUGCUGGAGGCG
rnacentral:rRNA from 1 species